UAGAACAUCACUGUGUUUUUGUUGGCCCCGUGUCUGUUGUCGAACAUGCGCCUUACUUAUUUCAUGAUGUUUAAAAGGGACAUUUCUCAUUCAUAUCUUUAGUUUCAUAACAAACGUGGUAUGUGUCCUUUAUAUCACCUUGAUGAUUAUAAGUUAAUAACACAUUGAUUUCAUAAAUCUGACUGAGAUAGAGGCGUACAAGGUUCGGAUGACCUUAUGAAACAGUUUAAUGCUACUAUCGCAGCUUCUCAAGGCGGGACAAUGUUAUUUGCACUAGCUUUUACCAACGGCAUCAACAAGAAUGUAAAAGGACAGCUUUCUCUCGAAGCCUCUACCUGUCCACGGAAGAUGAAAGCUGUUGUGUUAUAUCGGAGCUAUUUCAUGUCAACGACGAUCAGAUUGGGUGGGAAGGAAGCAAGUGCCAGAUUUCUGGACAGAAAUUCAUAGUUUUAGAGACAUGUUUGGACCAGCUGCUACGAAGUUUUAUAACUUACUGACUCAUCUGUUGUUAUAUUUAUCACAGCAAUAUAACUGAAACGCUUUGUUUAGGCACGAAGAAAUGAAUUGUAUUCAAGUCCCUUAUUGUCAACCAGAUGUAAUUACUUGGCAAAUAGUAAAAAAAAUAUGUGCCGUCAUUACGCUCGCGCAGAGUAAAUUGCUUCAUUCUUUUAAUGUGUGUAUCCUUAAUAAAUGAUAAUAUAUGUUAUUGAA